GUGGAUCAUAACAUCUGAAGGAGUUGCAGGGCAGCCUUUGCUGACACAGGUGUUGUCGACUGGGAAUGAGAUAAAUUGGGCAGAGGGAAGAAGAGAGAGAGAUCAGGCAGGGAGAUCCCGGUGGAAUUAUAGGACCUCCUGGACAUCCAGGUACAAAAGGUGAGGCAGGUCCUCCAGGGAUAAGCCUGCCUGGUGAACCAAUUAGAAUGCUUGAAACUGGGCAGCAGUCCCUUAAGGAAUUUGGGCCAUUGGAUCAAGUUGUUUUGCUGGCCUAGAAAUGCUAAGUAAGUAUCCAGAGGAUUCAAUGCCUUUUGGGAAGCCGAUAUGUUUUGGGGGUUACCUGGUUUUUAUUCCUUUUGAA
rnacentral:lncRNA from 1 species